AUUGAACGCUGGCGGCAGGCCUAACACAUGCAAGUCGAGCGGUAGCACAGAGAGCUUGCUCUCGGGUGACGAGCGGCGGACGGGUGAGUAAUGUCUGGGAAACUGCCUGAUGGAGGGGGAUAACUACUGGAAACGGUAGCUAAUACCGCAUAACGUCGCAAGACCAAAGAGGGGGACCUUCGGGCCUCUUGCCAUCAGAUGUGCCCAGAUGGGAUUAGCUAGUAGGUGGGGUAACGGCUCACCUAGGCGACGAUUCCUAGCUGGUCUGAGAGGAUGACCAGCCACACUGGAACUGAGACACGGUCCAGACUCCUACGGGAGGCAGCAGUGGGGAAUAUUGCACAAUGGGCGCAAGCCUGAUGCAGCCAUGCCGCGUGUAUGAAGAAGGCCUUCGGGUUGUAAAGUACUUUCAGCGGGGAGGAAGGCGAUAAGGUUAAUAACCUUGUCGAUUGACGUUACCCGCAGAAGAAGCACCGGCUAACUCCGUGCCAGCCGCCGCAGUAA
rnacentral:rRNA from 1 species